rnacentral:rRNA from 1 species
CUACGGGUCGCUGCAGUGAAGAAUAUUGCACAAUGGGGGGAACCCUGAUGCAGCAACGCCGCGUGGAGGAUGACGCAUUUCGGUGUGUAAACUCCUUUUAUAUGUCAAGAAAAUGACGGUAGCAUAUGAAUAAGCACCGGCUAACUCCGUGCCAGCAGCCGCGGUAAUACGGAGGGUGCAAUCGUUACUCGGAAUCACUGGGCGUAAAGGACGCGUAGGCGGGUUGGAAAGUCAGGUGUGAAAUCCUACAGCUUAACUGUAGAACUGCACUUGAAACUUCUAAUCUAGGGUAUGGGAGGGGGAGAUGGAAUUAGUGGUGUAGGGGUAAAAUCCGUAGAUAUCACUAGGAAUACCUAAAGCGAAGGCGAUCUCCUGGAACAUUACUGACGCUAAGGCGUGAAAGCGUGGGGAGCAAACAGGAUUAGAUACCCUGGUAGUC